CUCCGGUUCCCGUUUCUUUAGUUGCACGAUCUCUCUUCACUUUGAUCGCAUUCGAUAGAUCGUCGCUUUAGAUUCACGGCGUCCCGAUGCACGCUUUCAAGUUCCGAUCCUAUUCGGAUGCAUGACGGCAUCGGGUGGAUCUCAAUCGAAUGCUUUCUUGGGGGUUGUUCUUCGGAAAGGCUUCGUCUCCGAGUCCAUUACUCAGGACUCUUGAGAUCAACCACAGGUGACGGACACAGCCAAUAUCUCGACCUUCUGAAGCUAUUAGAAAAGGAAAUUGGCAGAAUUUGACGAGUCUUCAGUGGAUCAUGCAAGCUCAACUCAGGUCAAAGGAGGAGAUCUAAUGGCCUUUUUUUGUAUGGUCAGGAAAGCCAAACUUGCAAAUCAUGCUAGAAAAGGUGUACAAUGCUUUUUUCCAGGAAAGAAAGAAAUGGUGGUUGCUCCUCCGAUCUACAUCAGGAACUUCAAUCAGAUGAUCAAACUCCAUGGUACUUCUUCAACCUCUCUCUUAUUUAUGAUCCAAUAUCUUUAUAAGUCGAUUUAUAUUUGACGUGCAAAAUAUAACUUGAAUAUACUAUGCAAGUCCGAUACAUAUCACAUCAAUAAUUUUAAUUCACUGAUGUAAA